rnacentral:rRNA from 1 species
AUACCCACUCCCAGCACGGGGAGGUAGUGACGAAAAAUAACAAUAUAAGACUCACAUCCGAGGCCUUGUAAUUGGAAUGAGUACACUUUAAAUCCUUUAACAAGGAUCAAUUGGAGGGCAAGUCUGGUGCCAGCAGCCGCGGUAAUUCCAGCUCCAAUAGCGUAUAUUAAAGUUGUUGCGGUUAAAACGUUCGUAGUUGAACUUGUGCUUCGCACGGGCAAUACCAAGGGUCAUGUAUUUGAUUCGGUAUUUUGUCUUAUCUUCUCUGUUCUUUCGGGAAAUGAGAAAAGUGCGUGAGCGUAUUAUCGGCGUGUUGUUAAAUAUAAUUUUUUAAAUUAUAUUAGCUUCACAUAAGCUUGCUUCAGUGCUCUUUACCGAGUGCAGUUGUGAGCCGAUACAAAUUACUUUGAACAAAUUAGAGUGCUUAAAGCAGGCUUGUAAUGCCUGAAUAUUUUGUGCAUGGAAUAAUGAAAUAGGACAUCUGUUCUACUUUCAUUGGUUUUUUAGACCAAGAUGUAAUGAUUAAUGGAAGCAGUUGGGGGCAUUAGUAUUACAACGCGAGAGGUGAAAUUCUUAGACCGUUGUAAGACUGACUAAAGCGAAAGCAUUUGCCAAAGAUGUUUUCAUUUAAUCAAGAACGAAAGUUAGAGGUUCGAAGGCGAUCAGAUACCGCCCUAGUUCUAACCAUAAACGAUGCCAGCUAGCAAUUGAGUGUAGCUACUACUAUGGCUCUUUCAGUCGCUUCUCGGGAAACCAAAGCUUUUGGGCUCCGGGGGAAGUAUGGUUGCAAAGCUGAAACUUAAAGGAAUUGACGGAAGGGCACCACCAGGAGUGGAGCCUGCGGCUUAAUUUGACUCAACACGGGAAAACUCACCAGGUCCGAACAUAAAUGAGUAAGACAGAUUGAUAGCUCUUUCU